rnacentral:tRNA from 1 species
GGGCCCGUGGUGUAGCCUGGCCUAACACGCCGCCCUGUCAAGGCGGAGAUCGCGGGUUCGAAUCCCGUCGGGCCCG